rnacentral:lncRNA from 1 species
UCAACAACUACUUUUGAUUAUCCUAUCAAUGGCUUAGUUUGACAAACAUAAACAAUAACCAUAAUUUAGUUGAAACAUAUGCAUGACAGUUAUCAGAAAGAUAAGCUAUGAGUGUAUAAAUUCUUGUAGUAUCUCUCAAUAUACAAGCAGCAGUACAGAGCUCUGCUUAUGAGGUUACAAACAUCUUUGUAUUCACCAAAAGAUGAUCAUGAUAUUUUUAUAGCAGCUCGAAGUGCUGCCCGGCGGAGCUCAACCGGCGCGCCUCCCCCAGCAGCAGUGCCUACACUAUUCUUGAUGCAGACAAGUAUGAUGACAGUGGAGAGGCAACAUGGAGCCAGCAAUUUGAUGAGCAUUUCAAGUUCGCACCCCACCUUUUCAUGUCUCUGCUACGCUUUCUUAUUCCCACGUCCACGUGGAGAAUGUGGUUACCAGGUAGAGGUCUCCUACAAAAGAAAACUGAGUCAAAAUGCAUGCUACUACUAAUACUGUUUUCAGUACAGAAAGAACAAGCCUAAUCUUGAGAAAAUGAGUUGUGCUGAACAAGCCUAAUCCGUGUACAAAGGAGCCAAAAAAACAUGUUAACAUUACCAUCACCCGUACAAGUAAUUAAUAUAAAACUUUAUCAUGGAAAUAUUCCUAAACCUUUUCUAGGAAUUUUGAUGAGAGCUACCAGUUGAAACUAAUAUGUGUUUCUUCAUGUGCCUUUGCUUUGAAACAUCUAGUUAGCUAAGUUCAAUAGUAUGAGCAUCAGCUUAAAAAAACAGUAUGAGAAUCAAUUAUACUUCUAGCCCUUUCGAACAUCGUCAUACCAAAGUAGAAAUAAUUCUCUUGUACAAUCCAUUUAAUCUAAUAUUUUUCUUGAGUCUGCAAGAUAAAGAAUAAUGAUAUUGGGUCAUAGCCUCAUAGGCAUCAUCUAUACGUCUGCCAAAUAUUAACAACGAAUGUGUUUAACCAAGGUUAUCGCUCUGACCUUCUUUUCUAGCGACUUCUCCCAAUUGAAGUUAUUGCCCCCUUUGAUUUCCCAAUAGAAAUUCUUUGAAUCCUGCACUCGUAACACAAGUAGUUAUGCGAAUGCACACACAACACUUUGAAAUGUGAAGGGAUUAAACCCAGUUCAAAAAUAAUAAUAACCGAAUAGCAUAAGGAUGGAUGGAUGUUGUGCAACAAUAGUCAGUCAUUAUAGUAGACUAAGAAAAGAUCAUUGUUUCUGUAACAUGAUGAUAUUCAGAGGACCCAACCAUCAGUUCUUCCAACACAACCUUGAUCGCAAAAAUAUUAGCUAGCAUAAGACAGUAAUAAGAUCGCUUAAAUCAAAUUUCUGUAGAAAGAUGCCAUAUAGACCUGUGUCCUAUUAGGGACGUAUCCACUUAUUACACAUCUAAAACAGUACACAGAUUACAGUGAGUGCACAUAUUCAAAACGUCAGAAGAUCUCCAAGAUGAGAUAAGUUGACAUUCAAGUGUCCAGAAUCGGGGAAUGCUUACCUCCCGUGGUAUGCUUGGUUUCCAUGGAGCAAAUAUUACGAGCCACUGAGGGAGUUCCGGACUAGGGGGUGUCCGGAUAGCCGAACUAUCAUCAUCGGCCGGACUCCAAGACUAUGAAGAUACAAGAUUGAAGACUUCGUCCCGUGUCCGGAUGGGACUUUCCUUGGCGUGGAAGGCAAGCUUGGCGAUACGGAUAUGUAGAUCUCCUACCUUUGUAACCGAAUUUGUGUAACCCUAGCCCUCUCCGGUGUCUAUAUAAACCGGAUGGCUGUAGUCCAUAGGACGAACAACAAUCAUACCAUAGGCUAGCUUCUAGGGUUUAGCCUCCUUGAUCUCGUGGUAGAUCUACUCUUGUAACCACAUCAUCAAUAUUAAUCAAGCAGGACGUAGGGUUUUACCUCCAUCAAGAGGGCCCGAACCUGGGUAAAACAUCGUGUCCCUCGUCUCCUGUUACCAUCCGCCUAGACGCAUAGUUCGGGACCCCCUACCCGAGAUCCGCCGGUUUUGACACCGACAUUGGUGCUUUCAUUGAGAGUUCCUCUGUGUCGUCGCCGAUAGGCUCGAUGGCUUCUUCGAUCAUCAUCAACAACGCAGUCCAGGGUGAGACCUUCCUCCCCGGACAGAUCUUCGUAUUCGGCGGCUUUGCACUGCGGGCCAAUUCGCUUGGCCAACUGGAGCAGAUCGAAAGCUACGCCCCUGGCCGUCAGGUCAGAUUUGGAAGUCUGAACUUCAUGGCUGACAUCCGCGGGGACUUGAUCUUCGACGGAUUCGAGCCACAGCCGAGCGUGCCGCACUGUCACGUCGGGCAUGAUUUAGCUCUGCCGCCGGACAGUACCCUGGAGGCCGCACUCGAAACCGCUCCGAUCUUCAAAUCGGAGCCAGCUCCGCAGAUCGAGGAUGGAUGCCUAGACACCACCUCGGGGGCUGCAACCUCCACGGCGAUAGAGCCGAACGCUGACUUUGUCCCUCAUAAAGCUCGUGACUCCAAGGUGCCGGACUCCUCGCCGGACUCCGAACCUCCCGCGCCCGCCCUGAUCGAAUCCGAUUGGGCGCCGAUCAUGGAGUUCACCGCAGCGAACGUCUUUCAACACUCACCUUUCGGCGACAUCUUGAGUUCGCUAAAAUAUCUCUCGUUAUCAGGAGAGCCCUAGCCGGACUGCGGUUAGGACGGUUGGGAUGCGGACGACGAAGAAAUUCAAAGCACACCCACCACCCACUUGGUAGCCGCUGUCGACGAUUUAACCGACAUGCUAGACUACGACUCCGAGGACAUCGACGGUAUGGACGACGAUGCCGGAGGCGACCAAGAACCAGCGCCUAACGAGCGCAGGAAAGCCACCCCAGCCCACAACGUAUACAUGAUGGACACACCAAAAGGAAGCGACAAUGAGGAAAAAUGAGACGUGGCAAAGGACAACUCCCCCAACAAACAAACAAAGCGGCGACGCAAGCGCCGCCCGAAGACCGGCAUCGAUAAAAACGGCACCCAUAUGAACCCGGCCCUAGAGCAGGGCGAAGCAAUGGAUGACGCACACGUCAACAAGCAGCCAGCCGGACAUGAACCGGACAAGCAACCCAUCCCCGGCGAAGAUGAUCUCACAUCACCAGAGCAUAUGAAUCUUCAUAAAAGACUCGUCGCCACUGCAAGAAGUUUGAAGAAGCAAAAGCGGAAGCUCAAAACAGCGGAAGACGCACUCAGAAUGAGAUGGAGCAAAGUACUCAACACCGCAGAUAAAUAUGGCACUAGUCACCAGACAAAGAGCUACCCGAAGCGCAAGCUGUUGCCCGAAUUUGACGAGGAGGCCUUCAAGCCCCCGCAGUCAAAAAAGAAAGAGGCUGCCUGGCCGGAUAGACGACCAGAUGACAGGCCAAGAGCAACACGGGGCGCCACACACACGCCGACACAUGAUCAGCAUAAAGAUCCUCAGAAAAAGGAUAACCCGGCCAGGUCUAUCUAUGGGCCAAAAAAGAAGACUCCAGGAAGUAACACAACCAGCCGAGCAUUUGAAGACAACGGCAUACCCAAAUACAGGGGCGCCGCACACCCACUAUGUUUUACCGAUGAGGUACUGGAUCAUGGAUUUCCAGCGGGAUUAAACCCAUAAACAUAGAGGCAUACGACGGAACAACAGACCCCGGAGUCCGGAUUGAGGAUUAUAUCCUACACAUACACAUGGCAAGAGGAGACGAUCUCCAUGCCAUAAAAUACCUACCCCUCAAGCUCAAAGGGCCGGCUCGGCAUUGGCUUAAAAGCCUCCCAGAAAAUACGAUUGGAAGUUGGGAAGAGCUUGAGGAUGCGUUUCGAGAAAAUUUUCAGGGGACUUAUGUCCGGCCUCCGGAUGCAGACGAUUUAAGUCACAUAACUCAACAGCCCGGAGAAUCAGCAUGCAAAUUCUGGAACAGGUUCCUCACUAAAAAGAACCAAAUAGUCGACUGUCCGGACGCUGAAGCCUUAGCAGCCUUUAAACACAACGUCCGAGACGAAUGGCUCGCCAGACACCUCGGCCAGGAAAAACCAAGAACAAUGGCCGCACUAACAAGUCUCAUGACCCACUUUUGUGCGGGGGAAGACAGCUGGUUGGCUAGAUGCAGCACCAGCGACCCGAGUACAUCCAAAAUCAGGGAUGGAAAUGGGAAAUCACGACGCAGAAAAGAUCAGCGCCGGAAUAAGGAAAAUGGCCCAAAUAAUACGGCGGUCAACGCCGGAUUCAAAAGCUCUCGGCCGAACAACAAAACACUGCCCCUAAAGGCUAACAGUGACGAGCUAUCCAUCCUAAACAAGAUUCUGGACAGACUGUGUCAGAUACACGGUACCUCCGGGAAGCCUGCAAACCAUAUCCACAGAGAUUGUUGGGUCUUCAAGCAGUCCGGCCGACUUAACGCCGAACACAAAGGGCUCGACACACCAAGUGAAAGUGACGAAACCCAAAAGCAGCACUCCGGAAACCAAAAGACUUUCCCAUUAGAAGUCAAAACAGUGAACUCACUUCACGUGAUAACAUGCAGCGCGGCCCCUGCUAUACCAGAACACCGUCCGUGGACUGGGGAUAGAACCCACCAAAAUUCGCUAUAGCAGCACUUCCUUCGAAGGAGUGACGCCAGGCCUUCUUAGCCAAUUUUACAGGCUCUGUACCACUAGAGGUCGUGUUCGGUUCAUCCGACAACCUCCGUCGCGAAAAGCUCACUCUCCAUCGCCCCAUUUAGUAGUAGCCCUUAAGCACUACUGGGGCGUGCAGCUUUCGCCCGCUUUAAUGCAAUACCACAUUACGCGUCUCUUACGCUUAAAAAUGCCCGGUCCACGUGGCAUAUUCUUAAAACUCCAGGUAUCUCUCGACCACGGAGAAUAUGCGGCUGCCUCGACAGCCACACAUUAUUCCGACCUUGCAGGUCAAAGCCCCUAAAAACAGGUCAUUUAGACCUCGGACAUGGUUAGACGAGUCCGGCGUAACUUAACAAGGGGCUUCCCAGCCACAUACCCCUUUUUUAGGGGGUCGCGCGCAUAGAUGAUGAAAGCCAAUAAAGCUCAACUUUCUUCAUCUUCCAAAUUAUACUUUAUUUUUGAUACACUUUUUGCACGAUAUUUCUUAGAAACUAAGUCCUUCUCUUUUACAGAUGAAGCACGUGCUACACCCGUCCAGGAUACAGCACAACGGAGACACAGGCGCAGACGUGCAGUAGGGACCCGUUGCAAGGAUUCUUUUCAGAUUAAGACCCUGCGUAAACCUUUCUUACUGUCUCUUGUUGAUACACAUCCACCGGUUUCCUACCAGAGCCGAGGAGGAGGCUGGCGUUUUGGCAUCGGCCGCGUCAGAAGUUCCCGCCUGUACCUGGACACUAGGGGCUUAGGGCUUUAUUCUGCCCGAUAUCAUAAAGACCGAACACCUCAGGGAGUGUUCGGCGUCUCGAGUUAGGCCUUAUAUGCAUCAGCUCCGAAUCAUGUCUUUGGUCAAAUGUUGGGUUUGCCCGGCUCCUGUGUUUUGCUGCCUUACGUUCCGUAUCAUCGGCUAACGCGGCACCAGGAGAACUACUGCGAUUGUGCCCCGGUUCGGCCGGGAGAGCACCUCAGUAGAGAAAGCCGAAAACUGACUGUCAUGAUAUAGCGAGAGACUGGUCAACCAUUCGAUCGACCAUUGGAAUGUUUAGAAUUCCUCCGCUUUGACGAAGGACCGCUUCCCGGUCAGGCACAUACGCGCCCCGAGUUCAGAGAAGCGCGGUGCCAUCAGGGGCUAUAUAGUAGCCCCACAUUCGAGCUCCUAUGGCUAAGUGAAAGUGAUAAAGCAUUAUAGUCCGGUUGCCUAGUUUGCUAUGCUAUCACCUCCUUAAAAGGACCAAGACGUUGGAUUAAGUGUGAAAAAACGUUUUUCUUUUUGCAAACACCCCCGCACCAUGUGCAUGGGGGCUGAAGCCAAAGACUGUCAUCUUUCAGAUUAUACAUACAUAUACGGUCGCACAGGAGAUAGUUCAAUACUUGAACACACAAGUAUAAAAAGUCAUUGCAUUAUAAACGUGAUCUUAGAAAUCAUACAUGUCAUUCAAACAUAACAUCUUUCGAGCACUGCGACUCUAUUAUACGAGCGCCCUGCAGGACUUUCUCAAAGUAAUGCUCGGUGGGGAAUCGGCUUUUGUCCAAACCCCGGGAUGCAACAGCGGUGGCAUCCAUCUCUGCUCAGUAUGUUUUACCACGGGCGAGAGCCAUCCGUGCACCUUCUAUGCAUGCCGACCACUUCAUCGCCUUAAUAUGCGGCACUGCCCCAAGGAAUUACUGCAACAAGCCAAAAUAACUCUUCGGCUUGGGUCUUCCCGGUCACAGAUGAGUGACCACAUCCGUCAUGGCAAGUCCGGACAAUCUAUUUAGCUCAGCCCACUCAACCAGCCGAUCACUCAGCGGAAGUUGACGCUCCGGACUAUGGAAUUGAGACCAGAAAAGCUCAUCCAUUUCGUGACCCUUCUGGCUUCGGAAGUGCACGACUGCGUCCGCCGCACUCGUUGCCAAGUCUAGAUAAGGAUCCUCCGCACCAUACAAUCGGCCAAACUGAGCAUACUUCGGAUCCGUGAACUUCCUGCGCAGCAUAAAGGGCUUCCCAGCCACAAUGUCUCGGAUUUGACGCAGUUCCUCCUUCAUAGCCCGCAUCGCACUACGGGCAUCCUUGGCUUCGGCGUCGGCCUUCUUCAGGUCCUCUUGUUUCGCUCGACGUUCUCUUUCAAGAACCUCCUGGCGGUCGGUAGCAACUUUUAAUUUCACGGCCAUUCCGGCCAUCUCCUCCCUGCUUCGGCAGUGAGCAGCCUUCUCGGCUUCUAGCUCUUCCGCUGCCUUCGAGGCAGCCGCCUCGCUUUUUCUGGCUUGCUCCUUGGCCCGAGCAAGUUCUGCUCGAAGGUCUUCCACAGCGGCAGCACCAUCUGCAUCUAGCAUACAAUUUGUAAGGAAUGGGCGUCAGCUCCCUUACUAAGAAACCGCGGAGCAACCACAUACCUUGUGACUCAUCAAGUUGUCUAUUGACCAGCGAGAUGUCCGCAUCAGCAGUGUCGAGUUGCUUCUUCAGCUCGGCAAAUUCAUCAGUCUGGCUGGCCACCGAACGUUCCGCCACCUGCAUGGUAAAGGCGACAGUUAAUAACUGAGAUUAUGAUCCUAGGCACGCUGUCGUUUUCGACAGCAUACCAAGUCUCAGGGGCUACUAUCUAUACAGUGCGCACUUCAUGUGCAAAACUGUCAACAGGUAUGUCAUUUUUUGCGUACCUCAAAUCCCGUCAGUAAACUUCUGACGGCCUCAUACAAGCCGGUUUCGGCGGACGAGAUCCUCUCAAUCACACCACCCAUUAAUACGCGGUGAUCUUCUGAGAUGGACGCCCUCUUAAGCAAAUCCGGCAGCUCCACCGGCCGUACUCCAAUGGGCGCCGAACUCUCCGGCCCUGCCGGACUCAGGGAGACCCUCCGCGACGACACCUCAGGGUCGUCCGCCCCCGCGCGAUGGGGCGGCAGAUGGAGGCGUUUCGCUUUCCAUCAUCUCCGGACGAAGGUCUCCCGAAGAUGAGCUGUGCUGAGAUGGGCUGAGAUCUGAACUACAAGGUAAAAACUUCGGUUACCUUUAGACAUUAAGCAGGGGUGUCUGAUAAUUAUAAAAUCCCCCCUUUUUUCACUUACGGCUCGUUAGAGGGCUGAUUCCUCCGAGGAGAUAGUACGGCCGGGGCGCUUUCUGGCGCAGGACCUUCCGGUACAGAUUUCUUUCCCCGCUUUGAGGCCUUGGCCUCCGGGUCUUCGGAAGCGUUCCUCUUCUCCCCCUGGAGGGAGGGACUCUCGAUUCCUCCCUUACUAAAAACCUCCUUGGUAGAGGUGACAGUUUCCCCGUGCCCCCCUUCGCCCUCAUUCGAAGGUGCGACCUCCAACGUUUUGAUUAACACGGGAUCCUGCGUGGUCUCAGGGAGGGGGGCCGGACACCGUAUCAGUUUUGCUUGCGCUAUCCACUCCUGUCCAGGGAUAGCUGGUUAAAAGGCAAGCUCACGAUAAAUAAAUGGACGGUGUGUCCGGACACAGGGCUACUUACUUGAGUAUCCGGGCGAUUGCAGCUUAGGCCAGCGUCCUCAGUCAAUUCUGGAUGCGUCUCUUGCGAUCCGAAGAACAGUUUAUACAUCUCCAUGGGAGUCAAACCCAUGAAGUGUUGAAGAGCUCGUGGCCCCUCCGGAUUAAAUUCCCACAUGCGGAGGGGGCGACGUUUGCAGGGUAGUAGGCGCCGGAUCAACAUGACCUGCACCACUGCGACCAGAUUGAUCUCCCUUUCUUGGAGGCCUCGAAUCCGGUCCUGCAAUAGGGGGACGUCUUUGGGCGGCCCCCAGUCACGCCCCUUGUUGACCCAUGACGUCAGCUGCUGUGGAGGGCCCGAGCGAAAGACGGGCGGCGGCUUCUGCCUGCUGCCCCGGGGAGCGGUGAUAUAAAACCACUCAUGUUGCCACAAGCCGAGCUCCUCCUGGAAAGAGCCCUUGGGCCAUGGAGCUUAGACUCUCUUGCUUACAACCGCCCCGCCGCACUCUGCCUGACGCCCCUCAACCAUCUUCGGCUCCACGUUGAAGGUUUUGAGCCACAAGCCGAAGUGAGGGGUAGUGCGGAGGAAGGCUUCGCAGACGACAAUGAAUGAUGAGAUGUGGAGGAUGGACUCCGAAGCCAGGUCGUGGAAUUCUAGCCCAUAGUAAAACAUGAGCCCCCUCAUGAAAGGAUCCGUCGAGAAGCCUAAACCCCAACGGAAGUGAGACACGAACACGACGCUCUCGCCAGGCUCGGGAGUUGGGAUAACUUGCCCUCGGGCAGGCAGCCUAUGCGAAAUUUCGUAGGUUAAGUACCUGGCGUCUCUCAGCUUUAGCACGUCCUCCUCCGUGAUGGAGGAGGGCAUCCACCGGCCUCGUAGGUCAGGACCGGACAUUGUCGAAGAUCGAAGGUACCUGAAUUUGGAGCCCUGGGUGUUGGAACUCGGGGAGAGGGGCGGAUUCGAUAGAGGAUUGAAUAAAAAGAACGGGCCUUGGUCUCAUUAUAAAGAGGAAGAAUACCAAGAGCCGUCCCCGUGACCGUUUGGAACCCGCCUUCGAUGGAGGGGGCGUGGCAACGGGCGCGGUUGGGUUACCCACGUCCGUAUUGAUGGGAAUCCCGGAAUAAGGGGAGCACGAUCUCUGCUUCGACAAGACGUGCCAAGGAAACCGCCUCACUAAACGCGCUGAGGUGGAACAAUAAAAACAAUUCGAGUAAAGACUUGGAAGUGGUGUGAUGUCACGCCACAGAAUACGUCAGCAGAUUGAUCUUGUGUAAUAUUAUUCUCUCUAAGGUGGUAUGUGGAAUUCAUUUUUGCAGAGCCGGACACUAUCCUGGUGUUCACAAUCUUCUAUAAAUUAUUCGGAGGAGGAACCCGCCUUGCAAUGCCGAAGACAAUAUGCGCGCCGGACUCGUCGUCAUUGAAGCCUGGUUCAGGGGCUACUGAGGGAGUUCCGGACUAGGGGGUGUCCGGAUAGCCGAACUAUCAUCAUCGGCCGGACUCCAAGACUAUGAAGAUACAAGAUUGAAGACUUCGUCCCGUGUCCGGAUGGGACUUUCCUUGGCGUGGAAGGCAAGCUUGACGAUACGGAUAUGUAGAUCUCCUACCUUUGUAACCGACUCUGUGUAACCCUAGCCCUCUCCAGUGUCUAUAUAAAUCGGAUGGCUGUAGUCCAUAGGACGAACAACAAUCAUACCAUAGGCUAGCUUCUAGGGUUUAGCCUCCUUGAUCUCGUGGUAGAUCUACUCUUGUAACCCACAUCAUCAAUAUUAAUCAAGCAGGACGUAGGGUUUUACCUCCAUCAAGAGGGCCCGAACUUGGGUAAAACAUCGUGUCCCUCGUCUCCUGUUACCAUCUGCCUAGACGCACAGUUCGGGACCCUCUAUCCGAGAUCCGCCGGUUUUGACACCGACAGCCAGCAAGCUUAAUGGCCGGUCACACCCAAACUCAAGGACCUGCAACACACAACAUAUGCUCAAUCAGGAAAUCAUAUUGACCAGGCGAGUAUGCACAUCCAGGCCAGGAUAAUCUAACUUCCAGAACCUAAAGAUGUGAAAGGUCGCAAUAUCAAGUUCAUCAAUCAGACAUGUAUCAAGUGACCAGGCCCAACCACCACCAGCAAGAAUGCAACAUGAAGAGAGAGUGCUGCCAAGGGAGGAUGCGGCCAGGGGAGGAGCAAGACCAAGUCCGCGCUGCCAAGGGAGGAGGCGGCCACGCCGGGCCGGAGGACGCAGCAGCCAGUCAGAAGGGGGGGGGGGUCGCCAGAUCGGAUCUGGGCCGGCCAAGCCGCACGC